rnacentral:rRNA from 1 species
UACGUAGGAUGCAAGCGUUGUCCGGAAUUAUUGGGCGUAAAGAGCGCGCAGGCGGUAUGACAAGUCAGAUGUGAAAGAGGCCGGCUUAACCGGCAAGGGUCAUUUGAAACUGUCAGACUAGAGUGCAGCAGAGGAUAGUGGAAUUCCCGGUGUAGUGGUGAAAUGCGUAGAUAUCGGGAGGAACACCAGUGGCGAAGGCAGGUCUCUGGGCAUUAACUGACGCUGAGGAGCGAAAGCAUGGGGAGCGAACAGG